rfam:Capsicum annuum cultivar Zunla-1 chromosome 6, whole genome shotgun sequence
AUGAGCCGUAUGAUAGGAAACUAUCUCCUUCUGUUUGGAGAGCACUCAGCUAUUAGUUAGUACCCCCUUGGUUUCAAGGUGUACCUUUUCACUCUAU